CGUCAUUUUUCUUCGAAACUAUCGAAACUCGCCAAAAAUAUGGUGUAAAAGUUAAAUAUAUUCAUACAUACUUUAAAUCAAAUAACUAAAGAAUAAAAUUACUUUUACAGUGACACGUGGGCCCUCAACUGACUAAAAAGAUGUAGGGCUACGAACCCUUACUUUAUAGGAUGCAACUCCGAGAUUAAUUCUCGUCUUAAUCAACUAUCAACAAA
rnacentral:lncRNA from 1 species